CUACGACAUCAUUCGUUGACGGACUGUACACAAACCAGCGUGUGUUAGCGAACUUACUCUCAGGAUAAAUGUAGAUAUCAGUUUAUUGCAUUACUGUUUAUCCUAAUAAAUCAAAUAUUGGUGUUUGUGUAACUAACGGAAUAUAUAGAUAUUAACGCAUGAAGACAACGGGUUUAAGUAACUAACCUACUGGUCACUGUACGUUGGCUAACAACACAUCACCUCCAAGUGAACCCCUCAAUGCUGUUUGGAAAGGUCUGUAUAUUUGGUGGACGUGCCAGGUAUUGUGUUGUCAAACCCUUGGCCUGUCUUUUUACGACUUCCAGCAACAUGGCCAAGAGCAAGUUUGAGUACGUCCGCAACUUUGAAACAGAUGACACUUGUCUACGGAAUUGCUACAUUGUUGUGAGAUUGGAUGGUCGCAACUUUCACAAGUUUACAGAUCAGCACAAAUUUGCAAAGCCCAACGACAACAGGGCUUUGGGCCUGAUGAGCCGGAGUGCACGCUCCGUCAUGGAAGAGUUAGAGGAUAUUGUCAUCGCUUAUGGUCAAAGUGAUGAGUUCAGCUUUGUUUUCAAGAGGACUUCAACCUGGUUUAAGAGGAGAGCCAGUAAGCUUAUGACACAUGUGGCCUCCCAGUUCUCAUCCUCAUAUGUGUUUUACUGGAAGGAGUUUUUUGGGGAGGACCAGCCCCUCUUGUACCCCCCCAGCUUUGAUGGACGUGUGGUCCUGUAUCCUAGCAACCACAACCUCAAAGACUACCUCAGCUGGAGGCAAGCAGAUUGUCAUGUGAAUAAUUUGUACAACACAGUGUUUUGGACUUUGGUACAAAAGGGAGGACUCACCACAGUCCAGGCAGAGGAACGCUUAAAGGGAACACUAGCUGCAGACAAAAAUGAGAUCCUUUUCUCUGAGUUUAAUAUCAACUACAACACAGAACCUGCCGUCCUCAAAAAAGGCACCACUCUCAUCUGGGAAAAGCGAGAUGAAACGGUCACCAAACGCAUGAAGCUGCCGAGCGCAGAGGAGAAGGAGGUGGAGGUGACCCGCAGCAGGAGGCGGGUGCAUGCCCAUCACUGCGACGUUAUAGGGGAGCAGUUCUGGGAGGAGCACCCCGACAUCCUGGAGGACGACAACUGCUAACAAACAGCUCCUGAGGGAGAAGAAUCCUGAACUGAUGUUGGCUAGAACGGUUGAAUUGAUGAUGAUGCCUGUCAUGUUCAAAGAGAGGCAGAUCAUUCCUAAAUCUUUUAACAGCGUGUAUUGAGGACAAACAGCAGCUGCCCCAGGCAUCAUCACACUCUUGUGCAUGUAGCUCUCCUAAAGUUGUUUUUACAAAAAAUAUAUAUAUAAUUUCGGGUACGACAAUCAUUUCAACUUUCAGCAUUUUUGCCAUAACACCUCUUGACCCACUGUAAGUGUGUUCUUUUAUCUGCAUGUGGGCGUUUUUCAAUCCCAACUCUCCUUUUUCUGUCCAUAAAGCAGAGUUCUUAUGCUUGAAUUUGAAUGAUUCAGGACGGCUAUUUGCAAAGUGUUCAAUAUCACUUACAGUUUGUAGUAAGGUGGAGCAUACUUGAUAGGAAUAAGCAGAGUAAAGCAGAAACUAAUACCUUGGCAGGAACAAGUGGCCUUGUCUUGGGCCAGGACGCCAUUUAGAGAUGUGAAUGGAUUUGGCGGCCUGCACUGUCAUCAGAGCUAAGAAUACCUCACACACCCUGCAUACACUCUAUCCCCUGACAUGUGCUCCGAGGCUAAUUUAUCAUCGCACUUAUAAAUGACCGGCUCAGUAUCAAUGGCUUUUGAAGGAUUGAAGUGGACAAGCCAACUGUAUUUUAAUACUGUAGUAGGCUCAGUUACUGUUGAGUAUUAGAGCUGUAUUUUUGGUCUCAACGCAUGUAGCUCUCUCUACUGUACUUUAUGUAACUAGGAUUCAAAUCUAUUCACACUUUAAUAAAUCAUUUCAAACUAGCGUGAUAACAUGCUACAUUUUCGAUGAAGUAACAUGUACAAAAGCACAUUAUGAAAGCAGAAGUUCAUCUUUUCUUAAUGGCUUUUUCUGUAUGCUUAGAUCGGUUCACUUGUAACAGUUGCCAACAUGACAAUGACUGAACAAAUGCCUCUAUUGUAUUGAAGGUAUCUUAGUAACCAGAACGUGUUGAGGCAAGCGAUGCAGUUAUUUAAAGAAAGCAUGUGUUUACAUGCAGGGUCUAAACAUAAUCCCAUUGGGAUACUGGUUGUAAAAAACAGGAAAUACUCUAAACACCUUCUUUAAUAUUGUACUUUAAUAGCUCCUGUAAAUCAUCUCCUGUUCUCAGUUAUUUUAGGUAAAAUAGCCACUGAGAAGCAAGUCGUCUGUACAUCAUAUUGCUCGACCCUGGCUCCUACAAAAUGACGAUACAAUACUACUGUACUGCAUUCUUAAUGAAGGUUCAAGGAUUCCAAGAUUACGGUUGCAUUUAUAAACAUGUGGUUAGUGUUGUAGAUUGAAAGAAUACUAAAUGCAAAAAAACGACUUGGUAAUGUGAAGGCAACAAAACAUUCCUUGGUUAAUUUCAUUAAAAACCUAUA